rnacentral:rRNA from 1 species
CGUGUAGGCGGCCUCUUAAGUCUGAUGUGAAAGCCCGGGGCUUACCCCCGGAAGGGCAUUGGAAACUGGGAGGCUGGAGUACCGGAGAGGAAGGUGGAAUUCCUGGUGUAGCGGUGAAAUGCGUAGAUAUCAGGAGGAACACCGGUGGCGAAGGCGGCCUUCUGGACGGAUACUGACGCUGAGACGCGAAAGCGUGGGGAGCAAACAGGAUUAGAUACCCUGGUAGUCCACGCUGUAAACGAUGGGCACUAGGUGUUCGGGGUAUUGACCCCCUGAGUGCCGCAGCUAACGCAUUAAGUGCCCCGCCUGGGGACUACGGCCGCAAGGUUAAA